AAUGGGGGCAACCCUGAUCCAGCAAUUCUGUGUGCACGAUGAAGGUUUUCGGAUUGUAAAGUGCUUUCAGCAGGGAAGAAAAAAAUGACGGUACCUGCAGAAGAAGCGACGGCUAAAUACGUGCCAGCAGCCGCGGUAAUACGUAUGUCGCAAGCGUUAUCCGGAAUUAUUGGGCAUAAAGGGCAUCUAGGCGGCCAGAUAAGUCUGGGGUGAAAACUUGCGGCUCAACCGCAAGCCUGCCCUGGAAACUAUGUGGCUAGAGUACUGGAGAGGUGGACGGAACUGCACGAGUAGAGGUGAAAUUCGUAGAUAUGUGCAGGAAUGCCGAUGGUGAAGAUAGUUCACUGGACGGUAACUGACGCUGAAGUGCGAAAGCUAGGGGAGCAAACAGGAUUAGAUACCCUGGUAGUCCUAGCUGUAAACGAUGAUUACUGGGUGUGGGCAUGAAGAGUGUCCGUGCCGAAGCUAAUGCGAUAAGUAAUCCGCCUGGGGAGUACGGCCGCAAGGCUGAAACUCAAAGGAAUAGACGGGGACCCGCACAAGCGGUGGAGCAUGUGGUUUAAUUCGACGCAACGCGAGGAACCUUACCAGAUCUUGACAUCCUGCGAAGGCCUGCGAGAGCAGGCUGUGCCUUCGGGAACGCAGAGACAGGUGGUGCAUGGCUGUCGACAGCUCGUGUCGUGAGAUGUUGGGUUAAGUCCGCAAGAGCGCACC
rnacentral:rRNA from 1 species